rnacentral:rRNA from 1 species
AGAGUUGAUCAGUGCGUCAGGAUGAACGCUAGCGACAGGCUAACACAUGCAAGUCGAGGGGCAGCAUAAAAGUAGCAAUACGUUGGUGGCGACCGGCGCACGGGUGAGUAACGCGUAUGCAACCUACCUAUCAGAGGGGAAUAACCCGGCGAAAGUCGGACUAAUACCGCAUAAAACAGGGGCACCGCAUGGUGAUAUUUGUUAAAGAAAUUCGCUGAUAGAUGGGCAUGCGUUCCAUUAGGUAGUUGGUGAGGUAACGGCUCACCAAGCCGACGAUGGAUAGGGAACUGAGAGGUUGGUCCCCCACACUGGUACUGAGACACGGACCAGACUCCUACGGGAGGCAGCAGUGAGGAAUAUUGGUCAAUGGGCGGGAGCCUGAACCAGCCAAGUCGCGUGAAGGAAGAAGGAUCUAUGGUUCGUAAACUUCUUUUGCAGGGGAAUAAAGUGCAGGACGUGUCCUGUUUUGUAUGUACCCUGAGAAUAAGGAUCGGCUAACUCCGUGCCAGCAGCCGC